rnacentral:pre_miRNA from 1 species
CGUGCCUGAAGAGAGGUUUUCCCAAAUGAAUUCGUGUUGUUCACGACGUGUCAUCCUUGGCCAGCCUCUUUUCAGUAUC